rnacentral:tRNA from 1 species
GCAGGGGUAGCAAAGCCCGGUCAAAUGCGCAGGACUUAAGCCAGCGGCGGAAAUCCUGUGGGUCAGUCCCUUCGUGGGUUCGAAUCCCUCCCCCUGCAUCA